GCCAAACUAGACCUGCAGGCUGUCAGCUCUGGAGCAGAAACGCUGAUUUUGGCUACAUCCUGGCUUAAGAUCACAGCCUCCUGAAGAGCUUGUGGUGUGAGUGCUGGAAUGCAAGCAGCAGGGUUAUUGAAACUAUACAAAGGAGAUGGAGAAACACAACCUAUCUGAGAAGCUCAGGAAGGUAUUUGUUUCAUUUUUUGAAGGCACUUUGAGGCUUCCUUUGGAUAGAUCCACAGCAGAAACCAUAACAACCGCUUUCAAGAGAACCCAGAAAUGGCUCCUGGGAGGCAGAGGAAAGGGGACUGAUGGUGUAGACACAAGCAGAAAGAACCAAGGCAAUCAAAAAGGGAGGAAGCUGGAAGACUGUGAUGAAGAUUCAGAAAAACACAAAGAGAUAUGAAACAGCUGAAAGUUCCUGACCCUCUGCACAGAGAGGCUGGGGAUGCACAGGAGUGUAGAAGGCCAUGUUCAUGUCUUGUGUCUCAUACAGUCCCAGUGCAGAGCAGCAAUCCAUUGAUCCACUCAACAAGUGAGAUGUCUACCUUUUUUUUUAAUUUUACUUUUUUAAUAAUUUUUCAGCAGAAACUGAGAUAGACCAUAAGUAUUUAUUGACACACUGUCAACGAAGUCAGAAUUCCAGCAAACUCUGCUUCCAACUUGUAAAGUGCUUGACCUCAAAACUCCCUCAAUAUUUUUCAAUAAGAAAGAUUCUUGUUUGGUAGCAGCUAUUGGCAAACACCAUUUCAUUUAUUUAAAUGCUCAUUUUUCUCCUUUUAGCAAGACUAAAACCUAACUAUAAAAUAAUAAAUGAAAAAUAAACUAUGUUACAAAAAUGUCAUUAUCAUUCCUAUCUGUACUGUUAAACUCAUUAAAAAAAACAAUUUGUGAAAUAAUUUUAAGCAUGCACCUAUAAUCAAAAGAGGUCUCAGUAGUAAAAAAAUUCAUUCUUGUGUCAUAAAUGUACUCAUACUGCUAUUAUUGGUCAUAAGUUAUGCCUUCUUAUGUAAAUUUCUAAAAUAAUACUGAAAAUGUUCUUUAAUUGAAGAUGUUCUACUACUUUCCAAAGCCUAGAGUAUAAAAUAUUAUAGUUAAUUAAAUUACAUAUAUUUAUUUCAACUUUGAGGCCAUAAUUCAGUUUCAUGCUCAUGACUUUAUUAGAAAAAAGACUUCCCUGUGCCAGCAGAACCUUUUUAAUUUUUGUAUGUUCUGUCUCAAGAGAAAAUUGAUGUGUAACAGAUGGCUUCAGCUCUUACUGAAUGAAUCAUCUCGAGUGGUAAUUACUAUGGUCCUAGACAGUAGAUACAUAAAAGUAGCAGAGAAUUGGCUAGUGAAUUUAGACUUUGAGAUUUGUGUCCUUUUUCAAAGUCAAAUAACAUUGGCACUGAAUUUUGAUACCAGGCAAACUUGCGCUAUUUGUAGCCUCAUGUUUUCUUGACAGUCCUUUACAAAAUUCUCAAUAACUAAUCAUCCUAAGUGCUUCUGGUAGUUGUCAUAUCUGGUGUUUAAAACAGAAGCUAUACCAGUGAACUCAAAUUGUGGAAUGUGUGACUUAGAUGGGUCUACCUGGAUAAUUGAACAAAUCCAGCUUGCUAAUAUCUCUACAGCACAUACCAGGAACCUGAAGUGUAAAUGUUAGCAUUACUCCAAAACCACUUAAGCUGCACAGUCUGCAAAACAACUAUGGUUUGGUUUGGGUUUUUUCUUCAUUUAUCAUUAAGAAUAAGUAAUGCUUUUCUAGUCCAUGCACUGAACAAAAGCAGAUUGGGAGUUCAGCACAUUUUUGCUCAUCAACUCUACACAAGCUACGUAAAUACAAGACAAAGCUAGCAUGCAAAUGCUUAAAACCAUUUAAUGUCAACUGAUUACCUCCUUAGAGCUGAGUGCUUCAUUUUCUGGAAUAGGCACUAUGGGAUGACUGGGCUGAUGUCACAGGAUGGAGAGAGCAUGAAAUUAAAAACAGGAAAAAGAAAUAUCUUAUCAGUUCAAUCUUUAUAUAAAAUAUCAUUAAAGUUUAGUAAUUAAAGCCAAUACCCUCAGUCAUGCAAUGGAUAGCGAGGCAACAAGAUCACAUUUGUGUUGAACGUGCCCUCUGACUACUCCUUGUCUGUAAGAAAAUCUGUUUCAAGGUAUGGCCUAUUUUCUGUCAUUUCAUAUUCCUAGAAUUAAAAGGGUGGGAGAGGGAUAAAUCACUUUCCAAUUUGGAGAGACACGUCAAAUAAAAAUCACAGCAAGGGCACCUGACUUAUAAUACAUUUAGUAUGAGAUAACAAACACGAAGUUAUAUAAAACUGCAGCUAUAUCUACAUCACUUUGAAUAUCUGUAGUCUUAAAUCUCCUCCAAAAAGACCUCUACUUAAUCUUAAAUUUCACAGACAUAAAUAAUACAAUAUUUAUCUAAAAAACUGCUUUAUAGUUGCAGUUAGUAUGUGCAGAAAGGAGUUUUAGAUCUCAGUUAUUUUCCAGUUUUGAGUAUUAUAUCAUUUGCAUCUGAGUUAUGAAGUUUGAUGGAUGUGAUUCAAGUGAUGAAUCAUACCAAUUCCAGUAAGAUUUUAAUCAGAUUAUAGGCAAAUAGGUAAGCUGGAGCUUAUAAAGGCAAUCAUAAGGUCAUAAUCUUGUGAGGUUUCCUAUACAGUGACACAGACACAUCCCUUUUAGAGCAAAGGCUGCUGAAAGUAUCUGGGCUUGGGUAUUUUAGGACUGCAAAAAACAAAGCUGGAAGAAGCCUGCUAUUUUCAAUGUACAAAUGUAUUACGUUUUUUUAUUUAGAUCAAAUAGUAAAUAAUUUUUUUAAAAAAAGUGUUUCUUAAAAAAUGUUCCUCUUGACCUAGGAAAAUGAAUGUUCAAACUCUGCUUUUUGAGAAGCAAAACUAAUCUUCCAAACUGACCCUAUAAAGAAAGGAGGAUACUGGAGUGGAAUAUACUCUAAUUUUAUGAAAUCAUAUUAUACAUCUGCUGUGUGUUGUGCUUUGCCUUUGCAAACUUGUCCUUACUCAAUUUUAGGGAAGAAGGAAUCAAGUCUAGCAAUAACAACAGUGGUUAUAGAACCUUUGAACCAUUUGCUUUUUAUUAUUAUUUUUUUUCCCAAAAAAUAAAGGUAAGCAAAUAA